rfam:Dipodomys ordii contig_71322, whole genome shotgun sequence.
GGGAAUGUGGCUCAGUGGUAGAGUGCUUGCCUAGCAUGCAUGAAGCCUGGGGUUCGAUUCCUCAGUACCA